GAAUGCUGACAUAAGUAACGAUAAAGCGGGUGAAAAGCCCGCUCGCCGGAAGACCAAGGGUUCCUGUCCAACGUUAAUCGGGGCAGGGUGAGUCGACCCCUAAGGCGAGGCCGAAAGGCGUAGUCGAUGGGAAACAGGUUAAUAUUCCUGUACUUGGUGUUACUGCGAAGGGGGGACGGAGAAGGCUAUGUUAGCCGGGCGACGGUUGUC
rnacentral:rRNA from 3 species